UCCUACGGGAGGCAGCAGUAGGGAAUCUUCCGCAAUGGACGAAAGUCUGACGGAGCAACGCCGCGUGAGUGAUGAAGGUUUUCGGAUCGUAAAGCUCUGUUGUCAGGGAAGAACAAGUACCGUUCGAAUAGGGCGGUACCUUGACGGUACCUAACCAGAG
rnacentral:rRNA from 1 species